CAAUACCUCCAUACAUGUCUAAGGAAAGAAAAAAAGUCAUGUUAUAACUGGUUAAAAAAAGUUCUUACUUUGAAUUUAUUAGACAUUUCAACAGCAAGGGAUUUCUAAAAUAAGAAAUAAAUACACAUAUUUAAGGAAAGAAAACAAAGCUGUUUACUCCUGCAUAUACAUUCCAUUAGGAUUUUCUUUGAGGCCUAAUUUAACCAUUUCUCCAGAAUUGCAAGGUUCAUAAAAAAGGCUAAACAGGGACAAUUGUAGAAAUAGGAAUGGGACUUUGGUGAGGCAAGCAAGGUAUACAGCGUGCUUUAUUUAAAGAGGCACUCACUCUCAGUAAGUGUACCUUAGGCAGCAAUGUUACCUCAGUCUAGCCUGGCCCUGGGUAUAAACAUCUAGACUGACAAUGCCAGUAUCAAUUACUGCACAUAUGCCUUUUAAUAUUUUUGAAAGCUUACAGCCAACUAGCAUAAUCAAACACUGUAUUCAACUUUGUGUUUAAAUUAAAGAGCAUCUUAAGCCACAUCCAACUAGGCAGAAAAGAGUGUCUCAAAUAUGAAGUGAUUAUUUGGAAGAAAAACUAGUUCAUGAAAAUGAGUAAUUCUUCCAACAAAACUCCUAAGUCUGCUUCUAAUCUUUUUUAUUGACAUGUUGACUUGCAUUUCUCAUGUUUGCUUUCUUAAUAUUUUAACUUAGAAAACACUACUUAGUUUCCAGAUAUAAAAAACCCCACAAACUUUGCCAGGUUACAAAGCAACUUAAAUCCAGGUUACAAAGGACCUACAUUAGAAAUUUAAAUCCAGGUUCUAAUCUAAAUGGUAUAACUAACAAGUCUAAUUUUUCCUUUCUUAAAGAUAUUGCCUUCAUUUGCUAUUAAAUAUAUUAAUAACUGUCAGCAUAUACACAUUUAUCUAGCAAAUUAUAACAUGAGGUAGCUAUCCUAUGUUAUAGUUUCUAGUUUAAACUAUAGCAUUUUGCAAUACACCCAUAUCAACUUUUGCUUAACUUAAUCUCAUACUGUAUUACAAGUUAGGAAAUGGGUAUUUUUAUUUAGCCCCUAGUAAACAUAUUUUUUUUGAGACAGGGCCUUGACCUGUUGUCCAUACUGGAGUACAGUGACACAAUCACAGCUCACUGCAGCCAACCUCUCAGGCUCAACCUACCAAAGUGCUGGGAUUACAGGCCAUGAACCACAACGCCUAGUUGAAAAACAUCUU